rnacentral:rRNA from 1 species
GAUGGACGCUGGCGGCGUGCCUAAUACAUGCAAGUCGAGCGAAUGGAUUAAGAGCUUGCUCUUAUGAAGUUAGCGGCGGACGGGUGAGUAACACGUGGGUAACCUGCCCAUAAGACUGGGAUAACUCCGGGAAACCGGGGCUAAUACCGGAUAACAUUUUGAACCGCAUGGUUCGAAAUUGAAAGGCGGCUUCGGCUGUCACUUAUGGAUGGACCCGCGUCGCAUUAGCUAGUUGGUGAGGUAACGGCUCACCAAGGCAACGAUGCGUAGCCGACCUAAGAGGGUGAUCGGCCACACUGGGACUGAGACACGGCCCAGACUCCUACGGGAGGCAGCAGUAGGGAAUCUUCCGCAAUGGACGAAAGUCUGACGGAGCAACGCCGCGUGAGUGAGGAAGGCUUUCGGGUCGUAAAACUCUGUUGUUAGGGAAGAACAAGUGCUAGUUGAAUAAGCUGGCACCUUGACGGUACCUAACCAGAAAGCCACGGCUAACUACGUGCCAGCAGCCGCCGUAA